rnacentral:rRNA from 1 species
AUUGAACGCUGGCGGCAUGCCUUACACAUGCAAGUCGAACGGUAACAGGUCUUCGGAUGCUGACGAGUGGCGAACGGGUGAGUAAUGCAUCGGAACGUGCCUAGUAGUGGGGGAUAACUACUCGAAAGAGUGGCUAAUACCGCAUGAGAUCUACGGAUGAAAGAAGGGGAUCGCAAGACCUUGUGCUACUAGAGCGGCCGAUGGCAGAUUAGGUAGUUGGUGGGAUAAAAGCUUACCAAGCCGACGAUCUGUAGCCGGUCUGAGAGGACGAUCAGCCACACUGGGACUGAGACACGGCCCAGACUCCUACGGGAGGCAGCAGUGGGGAAUUUUGGACAAUGGGCGCAAGCCUGAUCCAGCAAUGCCGCGUGCAGGAUGAAGGCCUUCGGGUUGUAAACUGCUUUUGUACGGAACGAAAAGCCCUGGGUUAAUACCCUGGGGUCAUGACGGUACCGUAAGAAUAAGCACCGGCUAACUACGUGCCAGCCGCCGCCGUAAAAC